GACGAACGCUGGCGGCGUGCUUAACACAUGCAAGUCGAACGGAAAGGCCCUGCUUUUGUGGGGUGCUCGAGUGGCGAACGGGUGAGUAACACGUGAGUAACCUGCCCUUGACUUUGGGAUAACUUCAGGAAACUGGGGCUAAUACCGGAUAGGAGCUCCUGCUGCAUGGUGGGGGUUGGAAAGUUUCGGCGGUUGGGGCUGGACUCGCGGCUUAUCAGCUUGUUGGUGGGGUAGUGGCUUACCAAGGCUUUGACGGGUAGCCGGCCUGGGAGGGUGACCGGCCACAUUGGGACUGAGAUACGGCCCAGACUCCUACGGGAGGCAGCAGUGGGGAAUAUUGCACAAUGGGCGGAAGCCUGAUGCAGCAACGCCGCGUGCGGGAUGACGGCCUUCGGGUUGUAAACCGCUGUCGCCUGUGACGAAGCGUGAGUGACGGUAAUGGGUAAAGAAGCACCGGCUAACUACGUG
rnacentral:rRNA from 1 species